GGGUGUGUAGCUCAGUGGUAGAGCGGCUGACUGCAGAUCAGCAGGUCCUCGG
rfam:Perkinsus marinus ATCC 50983 gcontig_1104296409034, whole genome shotgun sequence.